rnacentral:rRNA from 1 species
GUGGGGAAUAUUGGACAAUGGGGGGAACCCUGAUCCAGCCAUGCCGCGUGUGUGAAGAAGGCCUUUUGGUUGUAAAGCACUUUAAGCGAGGAGGAGGCUCUUCUAGUUAAUACCUAGGAUGAGUGGACGUUACUCGCAGAAUAAGCACCGGCUAACUCUGUGCCAGCAGCCGCGGUAAUACAGAGGGUGCAAGCGUUAAUCGGAUUUACUGGGCGUAAAGCGCGCGUAGGUGGCCAAUUAAGUCAAAUGUGAAAUCCCCGAGCUUAACUUGGGAAUUGCAUGCGAUACUGGUUGGCUAGAGGAUGGGAGAGGAUGGUAGAAUUCCAGGUGUAGCGGUGAAAUGCGUAGAGAUCUGGAGGAAUACCGAUGGCGAAGGCAGCCAUCUGGCCUAAUACUGACACUGAGGUGCGAAAGCAUGGGGAGCAAACAGGAUUAGAAACCCCGGUAGUCC